GAAAAGCUGCACCUUGGGGAAAAGAUUGUGGAGGCCUGAUAAACACUACACAAUGUUGCCUUGGAUAUCGAUGGAAUUCUGAAAUUGCUUCCUGUGAAGUAUGCAAGAUUGGUACCUUUGGAUUUAAUUGUGAACACACAUGUCCGUAUCCUCACUAUGGAGAGGAAUGUCAGUCUGUGUGUCAUUGUCAAGAAAAUAAAUGCAGUUUCAA